GACGAACGCUGGCGGCGUGCUUAACACAUGCAAGUCGAACGGAAAGGCCCUGCUUUUGUGGGGUGCUCGAGUGGCGAACGGGUGAGUAACACGUGAGUAACCUGCCCUUGACUUUGGGAUAACUUCAGGAAACUGGGGCUAAUACCGGAUAGGAGCUCCUGCUGCAUGGUGGGGGUUGGAAAGUUUCGGCGGUUGGGGAUGGACUCGCGGCUUAUCAGCUUGUUGGUGGGGUAGUGGCUUACCAAGGCUUUGACGGGUAGCCGGCCUGAGAGGGUGACCGGCCACAUGGGGACUGAGAUACGGCCCAGACUCCUACGGGAGGCAGCAGUGGGGAAUAUUGCACAAUGGGCGGAAGCCUGAUGCAGCAACGCCGCGUGCGGGAUGACGGCCUUCGGGUUGUAAACCGCUUUCGCAUGUGACGAAGCGUGAGUGACGGUAAUGGGUAAAGAAGCACCGGCUAACUACGU
rnacentral:rRNA from 1 species